rnacentral:lncRNA from 1 species
AUUAGAUGUCACACGGAUGCCAACAGAUUCAGCCUCUUUUUCAGAUUAAACUCUAAAGUUUAGAUAGAGUUGAUCACUUCACAGGACAUGUACCAAUACAAACAUUAAGCUUUUGUGUCUGUAUUUCUAAGCGGUUAGGCUAUAUCAUCCUAUUAUUUUGAGAUCUGAGUGUCAAGCAUUACACAAACUGAUUUCGUAUCAGUUCAUAUUACAACCCAUUUCGUUUAGGCUAUUAUCACUCACACUCUGACAAUGUCACAACCAAAAAUAUAAUUCUCAAAAUGAGAUUCAGGAAGAAAAUAAUUUACUGAGGUGAUUUUUUUUUUCCCCACUGGAAAUGGGGUAGUGUGAGUUCAAUGCUUCCUCCAACUCACACUAGUUUAACUGUUCUCCAGCGAACAAUGGGGUUUGCAUAGAAACUUUCCUUGCCUCAUUUGGCCAAGAUCUACUUUAGAUACAGAACACAGUGAGUUGCAAUGCAGUCUUAUGACCCAGUAAGAAUAUGUAACUCAGUGCCAUGUUAGUCACGCAUAGGCUACAUUCCUGCCUUCCAAACAGGAUAGGAACCAGGAACCGACUGUUUCAUUCUUCUAUAGGCUGCCCAACCUGUUCAUGGAGGCAUCACCAUACGUAAAUCAAUCUUAACACAAUGUUAAAGCUAAACAAAUGGGCUCUUUAUAUUUGUAUGAUCAACUUAGCACAUGUGGAACAAAUGUGAGCUGUUCUGUGAUAGUAAUGUGUUGCUAGUGUAUCGUACCACUAGCUGUCACUGGUAACAUGUUUCACCAUGCGAAUGCCCGGUGUCAAUCCCCUAGACCAGUGGCCACCAACCGGUCGAUCUUCAAGGCAUUCAUAGUCGAUCAUCAAAGAUUUCUGUAGAAGAGCCAAUGAUAAAGGCUUGCGUUCCGUUUGUUUGUGUUGUGCUGUGCUGUUUUUUUAAUUUAUUUUAUAUUUUUAUUUCACCUUUAUUUAACCAGGUAGGCAAGUUGAGAACAAGUUCUAAUUUACAACUGCGACCUGGCCAAGAUAAAGCAAAGCAGUUCGACACUUAUAACAACAGAGUUACAUGGAGAAAAACAAGUCUAUAUACAUUGUGAGCAAAUGAGGUGAGAUAAGGGAGGUAAAGGCAAUAAAUAGGCUAUGGUGGCGAAGUAAAUACAAUAUAGAAAUUAAAACAAUGGAAUGGUAGAUUUGACAGAUGGGUGUGCAAAGUAGAAAUACUGGGCUGCAAAGGAGCAAAAUAAAUACAGUAGGGGAAGAGGUAGUUGUUUGGGCUAUUUAUAGAUGCAGUGAUAUGUGAGCUGCUCUGACAGCUGGUGCUAAAAGCUAGUGAGGGAGAUAAGUGUUUCCAGUUUCAGAGAUUUUUUUGUAGUUCGUUCCAGUCAUUGGCAGCAGAGAACUGGAAGGAGAGGCGGCCAAAGGAGUAAUUGGCUUUGGGAGUGACAAGUGAGAUAUACCUGCUGGAACGUGUGCUACUGGUGGGUGCCGCUAUGGUGACCAGCGAGCAGAGAUAAGGCGGGACUUGGAGCCAGUGGGUUUGGCGACGAAUAUGAAGCGAGGGCUGUUGGCGGUAUGUGCACUUGAUUCAGAAGCCCUGCGCACCGAGAGGAAACGUAUUCCAAUUUUGAACCAUUUAAUUUGUCUGAAAAAACAAACUCCACCUGACCGGGAGAUCUGGGUCUAAAUCGAAUCUGCCUACUGUGAUGGCCAAUCGGAUAGCUCAAAUCACGGUGCUUACGGGCUUCCACGACCCCAGCGGCAACAGUUGAGUACUAUCCUACGAACAACACGAAUUUGUGUUAGAGUUAGAUGUGGUGCGACUGCGUUUCGCCAUCGGGUGGAAGACGGUGACAGUGUCACCGGAGGAAAGGAAGGAGAGAGCAGGGACAGUGAGAGGCGCACCAGCUGCUGCGCUCUCCCUCAGCUGAGACUAAUGCCAUGUUCAAAACAACUGGGAACUUGGAAAUCUCCGACUUCAGUGCGUCCAAGACAAUUGGGAAUUCAGGAGAAGGAAAAAAAAAUCUAGAUCCGACUGGGAAAGAUCGUUUAGAACGGUCAUCCAACUCAAAAUCCCCAUAUCUCAAACUGGCAUAUUUCUAAACCUCCGACCUGAAAGCACCAUGACCAUCAGAAGCAGGUACCAUCAGCCCAGUAAAAUAAAAAAGCCAUUUAUUUCAAUUUAUGCUCAGCUGUGCUUUCCAACUGCUACACCAAUCUAUUGGUGAUCUAUUUUCUAUUCAAAGCUCGAAAAUGUAAUAAUCUGGUCUGAGAAGAACAAUAUUGGCAGGGCAGGCAUUUAGGGGAGGGUCGUCUGGGUUUGGCUGGGGUAGGUGGUCAUUGUAAAAUAAGAAUUUGUUCUUAACUGACUUACCUAGUUAAAAUAAGGUUAAAUAUAACCAAUAUGCUGUGAUAAUGUAUUAGGCCUAUUGCACAAACCUCAUUCUUACAGAACUGUUUUUAUUAGGGUAAUGUAAAAAAAAAAAAAAAAAGUCAG